GCUAUGGUGGAUUAGCCUUAGCACCCCAGAGACGAGGAAAAGGCUAGGUAGCGACGAAAAUGCUUCGGGGAGUUUGAAAAUAAGCGUUAGAUCCUGAGAUUCCCGAAUAGGUCAACAUUUCGAACUGCUGCUGAAUACACGGGCAGGCAAGAGACAAGCUGGCCAACUGAAACAUCUGAGUAGCCAGAGGAAAAGAAAAGCAAAAGCAUUCCCAUGUAGUAGCGCGAGGAAAUUGGGAGCCAGCGCCCUAUAAACCGUGAAAACCGGGGUUGUUGGAGAGCUAUACAAGCGUCGUUCUGCUAGGCGAAGCGGUGGAGUGCUUCACCCUAGAUGGCGAAAGUCCAGUAGCCGAAAGCAUCACUAACUUACGCUCUGACCCGAGUAGCAUGGGGCACGUGGAAUCACGUGUGAAUCAGCAAGGACCACCUUGCAAGGCUAAAUACUCCUGGGUGACCGAUAGUGAAGUAGUACCGUGAAGGAAGGGUGAAAAGAACCGCCAUCGGGGAGUGAAAUAGAACAUGAAAUCGUAAGCUCCCAAGCAGUGGGAGGAGCCCAGCCCGGGGCUCUAACCGCAUGCCUGUUGAAGAAUGAGACGGCCGGGCGACUACCAUAGGCAUGGCGACGGAUUAUUGGUGAAUUAAAAGGGGAAACCCACCGGACCGAGCGGAAAGCGCAGUCUUUCAUAGGAGCAGUUGUCAACCUGCUAUAUGCCACCGAACUGGGACAGGUGGUUGAGUGAUCUAUCUAAAUGACCAGGAUCGAAGCUUUUGGUGGAACUAAGUGGAGGUCCGAACAGACUGAUGUUGAAGAAUCAGCGGAUGAGUUGUGGUUAGGGGUGAAGUGCCACUCGAACCCAGAGCUAGUUGGUUCUCCUCGAAAUGCGUUGAGGCAUAGUAGUUGACUGGACAUCUAGGGGGUAAAGCACUAUUUUGGUGUGGGCCGCGAGAGCCAUCGGUACCAAAUCGAGGCAAAAUCUGAAUACUAGAUAUGACCUCAAAAUAACAAAGGUCAAGGUCGGCCAGUGAGACGAUGGGGGAUAAGCUUCAUCGUCGAGAGGGAAACAGCCCGGAUCUAUCACAGCUAAGGCCCCUAAAAAUGACCGCUCAGUGUAAAGGAGGUAGCGGGCGUGCAAGAGCAGCCGAGUGAGGUUUGCCUAGAAGCAGCCACCCUUGAAAUAGUGCGUAAUAGCUCACUGAUCGACCGCUCUCUGCUCCGAAGAUGACCGGGGCUAAGCGAUCUGCCGAAGCUGCGGGAUGUAAAAAUGAAUCGGUAGGGGGAGCGUUUCGCCUUAGAGGAAAGGACCCGCACGAGCAGUGGUGGACGAAACAGAAGCGAGAAUGUCGGCCUGAGUAACGCAAACGUUGGUGAGAACCCAAUGCCUCGAAAACCUAAGAGUUCCUCCGCAAGGUUCGUACACGGAGGGUGAGUCAGGGCGUAAGAUCAGGCCGAAAGGAGUAGUCGAUGGACAACAGGUGAAUAUUCCUGUACUACCCCUGGUUGGUCCCGAGGGACGGAGGAGGCUAGGUUAGACGAAAGAUGGUUAUCGGUUCAAGGACGCAAGGUGCCCCUGCUUUUUCAGGGUAAGAAGGGGUAGAGAAAAUGCCUCGAGCCAAUAUUCGAGUACCAGGCGCUACGGCGCUGAAGUAACCCAUGCCAUACUCCCAGAAAAAGCUCGAACGACCUUCAACAAAAGCGUACCUAUACCCGAAACCGACACCGGCGGGUAGGUAGAGAAUACCUAGGGGCGCGAGACAACUCUCUCUAAGGACCUCGGCAAAAUAGCCCCGUAACUUCGGGAGAAGGGAUGCCCCCUCACAAAGGGGGUCGCAGUGACCAGGCCCGGGCGACUGUUUACCAAAAAACACAGGUCUCCGCCAAGUCGUAAGACCAUGUAUGGGGCUGACGCCUGCCCAGUACCGGAAGGUCAAGGAAGUUGGUGACCUGAUGACAGGGGAGCCGGCGACCGAAGCCCCGGUGAACGGCGGCCGUAACUAUAACGGUCCUAAGGUAGCGAAAUUCCUUGUCGGGUAAGUCCCGACCCGCACGAAAGGCGUAACCAUCUGGGCACUGUCUCGGAGAGAGGCUCGGUGAAAUAGACAUGUCUGUGAAGAUGCGGACUACCUCCACUUGGACAGAAAGACCCUAUGAAGCUUCACUGUUCCCUGGGAUUGGCUUUUGGCUUUCCUGCGCAGCUUAGGUGGAAGGCGAAGAAGGCCUCCUUCCGGGGGGGCCCGAGCAAUCAGUGAGAUACCACUCUGGAAGAGCUAGAAUUCUAACCUUGUGCCAGGACCUACGGGCCAAGGAACAGUCUCAGGUAGACAGAUUCUAUGGGGCGUAGGCCUCCCAAAAGGUAACGGAGGCGUGCAAAGGUUUCCUCGGGCCAGACGGAGAUUGGCCCUCGAGUGCAAACCAAAAAAGGCAGGAAGGGAUUACUGCAAGAACCCACCCGUCGAGCAGGACGAAAAGUUCGGCCUUAGUGAUCCGACGGUGCCGAGUGGAAGGGCAGUCGCUCAACGGAUAAAAGUUGCUCUAGGGAUAACAGGCUAAUCUUCCCCAAGAGCUCACAUCGACGGGAAGGUUUGGCACCUCGAUGUCGGCUCCUCGCCACCUGGGGCUGUAGUAUGUUCCAAGUGUUGGGCUGUUCGCCCAUUAAAGCGGUACGUGAGCUGGGUUCAGAACGUCGUGAGACAGUUCAGUCCAUAUCCGGUGUGGGCGUUAGAGCAUUGAGAGGACCUUUUCCUAGUACGAGAGGACCGGUAAGGACGCACCUCUGGUGUGCCAGUUAUCGUGCCAACGGUAAACGCUGGGUAGCCAAGUGCGAAGCGGAUAACUGCUGAAAGAAUCUAAGUAGUAAGCCCACCCCAAGAUGAGUGCCCUCCUAUUCCGACUUCCCCAGAGCCUCCUGUAGCACAGCCGAGACAGCGAUGGGUUCUCUGCCCCUGCGGGAAUGGAGCGAAAGAAGCUUGGAGAAUUCAAGAGAAGGUCACGGCGAGAUGAGCCGUUUCUCAUUAACGAUAGGUGUCAAGUGGAAGUGCAGUGAUGUAUGCAGCUGAGACAUCCUAACAGACCGGUAGACUUAAAC
rnacentral:rRNA from 1 species